rnacentral:rRNA from 1 species
AUGAACGCUGGCGGCGUGCCUCAUACAUGCAAGUCGAGCGAACAGACGAGGAGCUUGCUCCUCUGACGUUAUCGGCGGACGGGUGAGUAACACGUGGAUAACCUACCUAUAAGACUGGGAUAACUUCGGGAAACCGGAGCUAAUACCGGAUAAUAUAUUGAACCGCAUGGUUCAAUAGUGAAAGACGGUUUUGCUGUCACUUAUAGAUGGAUCCGCGCCGCAUUAGCUAGUUGGUAAGGUAACGGCUUACCAAGGCAACGAUGCGUAGCCGACCUGAGAGGGUGAUCGGCCACACUGGAACUGAGACACGGUCCAGACUCCUACGGGAGGCAGCAGUAGGGAAUCUUCCGCAAUGGGCGAAAGCUUGACGGAGCAACGCCGCGUGAGUGAUGAAGGUCUUCGGAUCGUAAAACUCUGUUAUUAGGGAAGAACAAAUGUGUAAGUAACUAUGCACGUCUUGACGGUACCUAAUCAGAAAGCCACGGCUAACUACGUG